AACUCUACCUGGAUAGCACCCUCCAACAACAACAACAAAGACACAUCACAUUGCUCCCUCUUCUUCCUUGCUUCUCCCUGGGGACUUUGAAUUCACUGUGUGCUUCCAAAUGUAGAAGGGAGUGAUGCCUCCAUCUAACAGUCAACACCUUACACCAGCAAGGCACUAGCUGAUGUUCUGUAAGGCUAGGUACGUUGGAAAUCACUAAGUGCAAAUGACAGUGCAGCAAAACCAUCCAUCGUGGGCAGCACUGGAGGGCCUGUCCUAGGCGUGCAGCAUCAACACCUUGAAGGUGCAUCAGUCCC